rnacentral:rRNA from 1 species
AUACGGAGGGUGCAAGCGUUACUCGGAAUCACUGGGCGUAAAGAGCGUGUAGGCGGAUUGAUAAGUUUGAAGUGAAAUCCUAUAGCUUAACUAUAGAACUGCUUUGAAAACUGUUAAUCUAGAAUGUGGGAGAGGUAGAUGGAAUUUCUGGUGUAGGGGUAAAAUCCGUAGAGAUCAGAAGGAAUACCGAUUGCGAAGGCGAUCUACUGGAACAUUAUUGACGCUGAGAUGCGAAAGCGUGGGGAGC